UUGAAAUGCUAUUGAGCUCCGAAAUUUUACAAAGUCUCAGAGGCCGACGCAGUUUACCCAUGCGGAAGGCAACAUCACAGUAAGCGUUAGAGAAACGAUGCGAGUUUAUUGUGGCUCUGGCGGAGUCAGAGGGCC
rfam:Clostridium sp. D5 genomic scaffold supercont1.39, whole genome shotgun sequence.